rnacentral:rRNA from 1 species
AUUGAACGCUGGCGGAAUGCUUUACACAUGCAAGUCGAACGGGCUUGAGGGGCUUGCUCCUCAAGUUAGUGGCGAACGGGUGAGUAAUGCAUCGGAACGUACCUAGUCGUGGGGGAUAACGUAGCGAAAGUUACGCUAAUACCGCAUACGUCCUACGGGAGAAAGCAGGGGAUCGCAAGACCUUGCGCGAUUGGAUCGGCCGAUGUCUGAUUAGCUAGUUGGUGGGGUAAAGGCUCACCAAGGCGACGAUAAGUAGCGGGUCUGAGAGGAUGAUCCGCCACACUGGGACUGAGACACGGCCCAGACUCCUACGGGAGGCAGCAGUGGGGAAUUUUGGACAAUGGGGGCAACCCUGAUCCAGCCAUUCCGCGUGAGUGAAGAAGGCCUUCGGGUUGUAAAGCUCUUUCGGCAGGAACGAAACGGCGGGCUCUAACAUAGCCUGUUAAUGACGGUACCUGAAGAAGAAGCACCGGCUAACUACGUGCCAGCAGCCGCCGUAA